GAAGAGCGUCGUGCCCAUGAUGACGGGGUAGUCCCGUCCUUGAAUCGCCUGGAUGAAGAGAUAUCCCAUGCCGGGCACGCCGAACACGUUCUCGAUGAUGAUCGUGCCGGUGAUCAGAGCGGCGAGCGCCGGGCCGAGGAUCGUGACCACCGGGA
rnacentral:misc_RNA from 1 species